UACAGAGGGGGCAAGCGUUGUUCGGAAUUACUGGGCGUAAAGGGCGCGUAGGCGGCCUUCUAAGUCAGACGUGAAACCCUCGGCUCAACCGGGGAACUGCGUCUGAGACUGGAAGGCUUGAAUCCGGGAGAGGGAUGUGGAAUUCCAGGUGUAGCGGUGAAAUGCGUAGAUAUCUGGAGGAACACCGGUGGCGAAGGCGGCAUCCUGGACCGGCAUUGACGCUGAGGCGCGAAAGCCAGGGGAGCAAACGGG
rnacentral:rRNA from 1 species